GAUGAAGAACGCAGCGAAAUGCGAUAAGUAAUGUGAAUUGCAGAAUUCAGUGAACCAUCGAAUCUUUGAACGCACAUUGCGCCCGGCAGUAAUCUGCCGGGCAUGCCUGUCCGAGCGUCAUUUCUACCCUCGAGCGAAUCCAGCAUCUAGGUGCUGGGCCUCGCCCGGCGUUGGAGCACUACGGGAAGCCCUGUGCUGUCCCCCGUAGGCCCCGAAAUGAAGUGGCGGUCCUGCCGCGGCGCCCCCUGCGUAGUAUAACAGCUCGCUUCGGGACCCGGUGGAGGCCUGCCGUCAAACCUAUACUCUCUAAGUUUGACCUCGGAUCAGGUAGGGUUACCCGCUGAACUUAAGCAUAUCAAUAAGCGGAGGA
rnacentral:misc_RNA from 1 species